rnacentral:rRNA from 1 species
GACGUAGGGCGCGAGCGUUGUCCGGAUUUAUUGGGCGUAAAGAGCUCGUAGGCGGUUUGUCGCGUCUGCUUUGAAAUCCCGAGGCUCAACCUCGGGCCUGCAGUGGGUACGGGCAGACUGGAGUGCGGUAGGGGAGAAUGGAAUUCCUGGUGUAGCGGUGGAAUGCGCAGAUAUCAGGAGGAACACCGAUGGCGAAGGCAGUUCUCUGGGCCGUAACUGACGCUGAGGAGCGAAAGCGUGGGGAGCGAACAGG